CGGCCUCUUUAGGUGCCGCAGCGGAAGGCCUGGAGCAGAGGCUGCUUCUCCGCCCAAGCACUCCCUGGGAAUGCUCCCCAAGACUUCCGUCCUGCAAGUCUAUAAAGGGCAGUCUGGUGAAGUUUCACAGCUUCAGCUCCGGUAUCGUUAAUCACAGGAUCGUGGCUGCAAACCUCCCAGCCCUUCAGCACCAAACAGGUGUUAAAGCAAAGAGAAUGAAGGCAAGAUCCUCGGGAUUCUCUGGGAAAGGAGGCAAGCUGCUCUGUGUUCUGGCGCUCGCAGUCCGCAGGGAGACUGGUGAAGCCCACAUUUUCUUUCCAAGCCCUCAGGGUCCAAGAGACUGGAUACUAGAUGUGUAGUGGCUGGGUAUCUGGGCAGAGAGAGAAGUCUAUCGUUCUGAGGAGCAGGAAGGACUGGGAAGAGGGUACCCAGUGUACAAGAGCCAGACUGAUGUGGUUGGAGGAUGGGGGGCAAUGUCAGGGUAGGAAACACUUUUACAUUUCCGGGGAAUAAACAACUAUUCUGGCGCCA
rnacentral:lncRNA from 1 species